rnacentral:rRNA from 1 species
GGACAGAGGAUGCAAGCGUUAUCCCGGAAUGUUGGGCGUAAAGCGUCUGUAGGUGGCUUUUUAAGUCCGCCGUCAAAUCCCAGGGCUCAACCCUGGCAGGCGGUGGAAACUACCAAGCUGGAGUACGGUAGGGGCAGAGGGAAUUUCCGGUGGAGCGGUGAAAUGCGUAGAGAUCGGAAAGAACACCAACGGCGAAAGGCACUCUGCUGGGCCGACACUGACACUGAGAGACGAAAGCUAGGGGAGCGAAUGGG